rnacentral:rRNA from 1 species
UACGUAGGGUGCAAGCGUUAAUCGGAAUUACUGGGCGUAAAGCGUGCGCAGGCGGUUUUGUAAGUCUGUCGUGAAAGCCCCGGGCUCAACCUGGGAAUUGCGAUGGAGACUGCAAGGCUUGAAUCUGGCAGAGGGGGGUAGAAUUCCACGUGUAGCAGUGAAAUGCGUAGAGAUGUGGAGGAACACCGAUGGCGAAGGCAGCCCCCUGGGUCAAGAUUGACGCUCAUGCACGAAAGCGUGGGGAGCAAAACGG